rnacentral:antisense_RNA from 1 species
CUUCAACGACCCCAGGUACGCCGGGCGGCCGACCGGCCGGCCCUGCCCGUACGUGGCCAGCAGCGCCUGCGCCUC